rnacentral:rRNA from 1 species
GAUGAACGCUAGCUACAGGCUUAACACAUGCAAGUCGAGGGGAAACGACAUCGAAAGCUUGCUUUUGAUGGGCGUCGACCGGCGCACGGGUGAGUAACGCGUAUCCAACCUGCCCAUCACUUGGGAAUAACCUUGCGAAAGUAAGACUAAUACCCAAUGACAUCCCACGAAGACAUCUGAAUGGGAUUAAAGAUUUAUCGGUGAUGGAUGGGGAUGCGUCUGAUUAGCUUGUUGGCGGGGUAACGGCCCACCAAGGCAACGAUCAGUAGGGGUUCUGAGAGGAAGGCCCCCCACAUUGGAACUGAGACACGGUCCAAACUCCUACGGGAGGCAGCAGUGAGGAAUAUUGGUCAAUGAGCGAGAGCCUGAACCAGCCAAGUAGCGUGCAGGAUGACGGCCCUAUGGGUUGUAAACUGCUUUUAUAAGGGAAUAAAGUGGGUCUCGUGAGACUUUUUGCAUGUACCUUAUGAAUAAGGACCGGCUAAUUCCGUG